rnacentral:rRNA from 1 species
UCCUAUCGUAGGGGAGGCAGCAGUAAGGAAUAUUGGUCAAUGGGCGGAAGCCUGAACCAGCCAUGCCGCGUGCAGGAAGAUUGCCCUAUGGGUUGUAAACUGCUUUUGUCCAGGAAUAAACCUUUAUACGUGUAGAGAGCGGAAUAACUGAAGAA